GGAGUAAAGCUUGUGGUGAGAAGUCAGCAGAGGUCAUAGUACCGGAAGUUUUUUUUUUCGGGAAGGAC
rnacentral:ncRNA from 1 species